rnacentral:rRNA from 1 species
AGUUUGAUCCUGGCUCAGAUUGAACGCUAGCGGGAUGCCUUACACAUGCAAGUCGAACGGCAGCACGGACUUCGGUCUGGUGGCGAGUGGCGAACGGGUGAGUAAUGUAUCGGAACGUGCCCAGUAGCGGGGGAUAACUACGCGAAAGCGUAGCUAAUACCGCAUACGCCCUACGGGGGAAAGCAGGGGAUCGCAAGACCUUGCACUAUUGGAGCGGCCGAUAUCGGAUUAGCUAGUUGGUGGGGUAACGGCUCACCAAGGCGACGAUCCGUAGCUGGUUUGAGAGGACGACCAGCCACACUGGGACUGAGACACGGCCCAGACUCCUACGGGAGGCAGCAGUGGGGAAUUUUGGACAAUGGGGGAAACCCUGAUCCAGCCAUCCCGCGUGUGCGAUGAAGGCCCUCGGGUUGUAAAGCACUUUUGGCAGGAAAGAAACGUCGCGGGUUAAUACCCCGCGAAACUGACGGUACCUGCAGAAUAAGCACCGGCUAACUACGUGCCAGCAGCCGCGGUAAUACGUAGGGUGCAAGCGUUAAUCGGAAUUACUGGGCGUAAAGCGUGCGCCGGCGGUUCGGAAAGAAAGAUGUGAAAUCCCAGAGCUUAACUUUGGAACUGCAUUUUUAACUACCGGGCUAGAGUGUGUCAGAGGGAGGUGGAAUUCCGCGUGUAGCAGUGAAAUGCGUAGAUAUGCGGAGGAACACCGAUGGCGAAGGCAGC